CGAGAAGACCCUGUGGAGCUUUAGACACCAGGGCGGAUCAUGUUAAGACACCCCCCCAAGGGUAUAAACAUAAUGAAUCCCGCCCCAUGUCUUUGGUUGGGGCGACCUAGG
rnacentral:rRNA from 1 species